UACAGAGGUCUCAAGCGUUGUUCGGAUUCAUUGGGCGUAAAGCGUCCGCAGGUGGCAAUGUAAGUCUGCUGUUAAAGAGUCUAGCUCAACUAGAUACAAGCAGUGGAAACUACAUAGCUAGAGUACGUUCGGGGCAGAGGGAAUUCCUGGUGUAGCGGUGAAAUGCGUAGAGAUCAGGAAGAACACCGGUGGCGAAGGCGCUCUGCUAGGCCGUAACUGACACUGAGGGACGAAAGCUAGGGGAGCGAAUGGG
rnacentral:rRNA from 1 species